rnacentral:snoRNA from 1 species
GAGCAAUGAUGUAAACCUGCUGAACCAGAAGUGUAUUAAAUUAAAAUACAUUUCAUGAUGGUUUCUACACUUGAGCUGAGCUCG